rnacentral:rRNA from 1 species
UGGGGAAUCUUGCGCAAUGGGCGAAAGCCUGACGCGGCGACGCCGCGUGAGUGAUGAAGGCCUUCGGGUUGUAAAGCUCUGUGGAGGGGGACGAAUAAGUCGGAGCGAACAGCUCCGAUGAUGACGGUACCCUUUUAGCAAGCACCGGCUAACUCUGUGCCAGCAGCCGCGGUAAGACAGAGGGUGCAAACGUUGUUCGGAAUUACUGGGCGUAAAGCGCGUGUAGGCGGCUCUGAUAAGUGAGGUGCGAAAGCCCAGGGCUCAACCCUGGAAGUGCACUCGAUACUGCUUCGCUUGAGUACUGGAGAGGUUGGUGGAAUUCUCGGUGUAGAGGUGAAAUUCGUAGAUAUCGAGAGGAACAUCUGUGGCGAAGGCGGCCAACUGGACAGAUACUGACGCUGAGACACGAAAGUGUGGGGAGCAAACA